AUAGCCACAUAGCAGGUGGACAUCCCUGGACACUUUUCUGACCCUCAUUGGAUUUUCCUGGAAGUACGGAGAGUUACAUCCAGAGAACUCUGAACAUUUUGGAAGGACCCCAAUCCUGCAAACAAUGAAUGGCAAUAAAUCCUGGGACUGGAAAGGGGCUUCUCAACCCCAAGGCAACCAUAAAGUCCUAUACAAAGAAAGAUACAGCAGUGUGAAAGAGGCCUGGAUGAAAAAACAAAGACAGAGCCAGUGAGCCAGAGCCAGAGCCAGAGGACAAGAGAGAAAGGCAGAGAAUGGAAAACACAGACAGAGAAGGCAGAUGCGUAGAGAGACAGAGAUUCAAUGAGAAAAUAAGGAAGGAAGAAAGAAAGAAAACAAAAACGUUCUCAGCACUACAACUUCUGCCUUGUUCUGUUCCAGAACAGUAUGAGCUCAGUACUUUUUCAGACUCUCAAUUUUCUACAACUAAUAAUUUGCUCUUUCAGUUAGUGGCAAAGGCUUAACGACAAAGGUUCAUCUUUAAUAUUAGAGAGGCACUUUUAAAAUUUAUGAUGCUAAGCCUUUUGUUCUGGAUAUGGUCUUCCAAGAAACAAAAGGAAAUUUACCUAUUUCUUAAACAGAACAAAACCCAUUAUAUCUUGUAAUUACCAUGUGACAGCAUUGGACAAUUUUAAACAUGUAAGGCACUUUAUGGAAACUUCAUGAUCUUUUUUUUCUUAUAUUAAGCAUUUUCUAUUUCAUCAACAUAGGAACUGUUUCAUCAUUACUCAUCAAUCGUUCCUAACAAUGCUUAAAACUAAAACAAUGAAGAAGCAGAAUAAUGAAAUUGCCUAGAAAGAUGAUGCAACUGUAAAAUAUAUCAUUAUUGCCCCAUCAUCACUAUGAUUGUUUAUAGUGUUGACUGAAGUAUUACAUCAUCAUUCAAGAAGAUAUAAAAGAAGCCUGGAGACAUCUUUUUUUUUUUGAGACACCAUUUUUACAGCCUACUUUGUUUCACUGAACACAGUUUAUAAUUCAGAAUUAUUUUUUCCAUCCAUAACUUCAAAUAGAAGAAAAGUGACAGAGGAAGAUAUUUCAAAAUUAUUAAAUGAAUCAGAAGAUGAAUGCAGAAAGACAGAGAGCAGUAAGCUAGACUCUAAUGAUUAGGGUAAAAUUGAAAUUGAUUAUACAAGUGAAAUCUCAGACUAUGAGUCUUCAUAAGACAAUGAAUUUUCUUAAACUAUAGAAUCAAUGAGUGAACAAUGCAUUUCAAAGAGAAAAAAGGAAAUAUACUAUAGUAGUUCCCUCUUAUCCAUAAAAAAUGUAUUCCAAGAUAUCCAGUAGAUACCUGAAACAAUGAAUAAUGCUGAAUUCUAUGUAUGCUGUGUUUUCUUGAUCUGAAAACCGAGAUACCUAAUAAGUGUCUCACAGACAGGUAGCUUAGAGAGCGUGGAUACAUCGGACAAAGGGAUGAUUCACAUACUUGGUGGAAUAGAGCGUGAUAACAUGACAUGCUACUCAGAAUGGUGUCCAAUUUAAAACUUGUGAGUUGUUUAUUUCAGGAAUUUUCCAUUUGAUAUUUUCAGACUGUGGUUGACUGUGGGUUACUGAAACUGCAAAUAGCAAAAUCAUGGAUAAGAGGACACGACUGUAUUCUCAUCUAGUUAGCCCUUUAACAGGAAGGAAUUUAUCCUGUUAUAUUUUGUGACAAGAACCUGAACCAUUUCAUUUUGCUAAAAGAGCAUGUCACAGUACUCUUUCUUUAUAAAAUUCAUGUGCCAAAAUCUGUGGUUUCUAACUGCACAAAUGCUAAAGAAAGAGAAAGGCAGGCAUCCAAAAGAAAUGGACAAUGUGAAUUUAAAAAUAAUUGAAUGCAUUAUUGUAAUCUAUGUUUGUAAAUACAAAAAUGAAAACCUGCCCAGGCACAGUGGCUCACGCCUGUAAUCCCAGCACUUUGAGAGGCCGAGGUGGGCGGAUCACGAGGUCAAGAGAUCAAGGCCAUCCUGGCCAACAUGGUGAAAUCCCGUCUCUACUAAAAAUAGAAAAAAAA
ensembl:lncRNA TRDN-AS1 TRDN antisense RNA 1